GGGUAAUCCCCAAAAGAUCUAGAGCUGGUGCCGCACAGAGGCCGAGGCUGCGGAUGUGCUGCGGCAGGGCGAGGAGCGCUGGUGAAAGUGUCAAUGUGUGCAUGCAGAGAGGCCGCGUACGUGUCUGCAGAUGGACAGAACGCUGUCUGACGCGAGACAAGCCAGACCAUUACCAGGAGCUUCCUCUGGAGAGUUGGACUCCGUGUGGGAACUACGGCCAUUUUUAACCUUUUAUAACAAGCACGCGUGUUAGUGUUUUUAAAAUGGUUAUUAAAGAGACUAAUAAGUUUGUGCAAAAUAAAA